rnacentral:rRNA from 1 species
UACGUAGGGUGCGAGCGUUGUCCGGAAUUAUUGGGCGUAAAGAGCUCGUAGGCGGUGUGUCGCGUCGGUCGUGAAAACUUGGGGCUUAACUCUGAGCUUGCGGUCGAUACGGGCAUCACUGGAGUUCGGCAGGGGAGACUGGAAUUCCUGGUAUAGCGGUGAAAUGCGCAGAUAUCAGGAGGAACACCGGUGGCGAAGGCGGGUCUCUGGGCUAAGCACUGACGC